GGUUGUGGCUCAGUGGUAGAGCGUUUGCCUAGCAUGCAUGAGGCACUGGGUUGGAUCUCCAGCACCA
rnacentral:tRNA from 1 species